rnacentral:lncRNA from 1 species
UAUGGUACUCGAACAGCUAAAGCCAAAAGGCUGAAGAAAAAAGAAAGCAGUUUUAAUCCCUUUGAAGAAGGUUCAUCAUCAUUUAGGCAGCUUGAUGCCCCAGAAAACACGUCAGCCCGAUCAAAGGGGCUGACAGCUGAAGUUCUGCCAAGCAAACCCACAGAUGCUGUGGUGCUUAGCCUGUCGCCGGUGUGUAAAGCCUCACCCAGGGAAGACCUGUUCCUGAAUACCACAGGUCCUUUUGUUAACUCAGAAGAAAUUGUUCCUGCAUCUCUGAGCUCAGAAAAAGAAAUGACUCCUCGAAGUCCAGAAGAAAAGAAUAUUUCAAAGCCUCAGUGUGAGAGAAGGGAGAUCUGCUCCAUUGUGAGACUGUCACCAGACCCGAGGCCUUCCCGGCUGCACAAAGUCCCAGUUAACUCCAAAAAGUGCUACCUUCCCAAAGGACUGCCUGAAGGUAAAGGGGGUACAGACUUGCUUCUAUACUCCUGCAUAUAUAGUAUACAUAUUGUAUAUAUAUACUGGGCAGGUGCUAACUGGUUAGUUGAGUGUUUAAGAGUUGUUGGGCUUUUUCUUAAAGUCUGA